ensembl:lincRNA
CGGGCCCCUCUCUGUCGCUCGGGGCCGCCCCACCUCCACCGUGGGUUCCGUGCCUCUGCCGCGUCUUUGCCACAGGGGCCUACGUGGCCGUACGCUGUUGGUACCUCUUCCGUCCCGUCCUCUGAUCCCUGGGGCUGCACCCUGGUACAUCUCGCUUCCCCAGCCCACCUUGGCCCCGCUCUGUUGACCUUUGGGCCUUCUGUCCGCCGAUGUCGCGUGCUGGACCAGGAGGAAGGCCUGUGCCCCUGGCGCCCCUGCCCACCCAUGGUGGUGCGCUCCUCUGAGUGUGCACGGGUCACCUGCUGGCUACAGUGCCUAUACCGCCGCCCGCCAGGGCCGGGGGAUGGAGGUUCUUCCUGAUUUCUGUUUAAGAAUCCUGAUGUGGCAGCUCUUACCAGUGUAGGGUAAGGGAGUUAGAGGCAGCCAGGUUCAGGAAAAGAAGGACACUGGCACUUUAUGGAACAGAUUCACCUUCAAUGAGGCAAGAAGGGGCAGCAGUCAGAUUAGUGAGCUGCUGCACUAACCCAGGAAAAGAGGGGUUUCAUCCAGAAGCGGAGAAGAAAUAGCCCUGAGAUUAAAAAAUUAAGAACCAGCCAGAUGAAGAGACUUCGUUGUUGGCCACAUAAUAGGGUGCACCCUACUGGCUCAACUGAAGAUCUCCCUGAGGACCAGCUGGAGGAGCGAUCCAUUUCAACGUUGGAGGAAGAGGCUCUGCCCUACUCCAUAGCGCAUGAACAAGCCAGUGAACACGUUCCCCAGGAGGACAUGGCGGUGGAACUGUCCCUGGACCGGGCUGCGGAAGAGCCUCUGGACACUGUGGACGAAUCUGGGGAAGCCAAUGAACAUGCUCCCCAGGAGCACCUGGUGUUGGAACCGCCCCAGGCCGAGGCCGAGGAACCACCUCUGCAUCCCCUGGAGGCAGCCAGGGCAGCCAAUGAACACGGUUUCACUGAGGACCUGCCAGUCAACCCAACUUGUGACAGCACCGAAGAGACUCCAUGUGUCUCCAAGGUGGCCCUUUCAGAAUGUGAAAGCGCCUCUCCACAUGACUGCUGCCCUCAGACACCAGAAGAGUACAUGGCGGAUAAUGAAGAUUCAGAGACAGUGAGCAAGAAUACUGAGAUGUCAGACAAUUCUCUAAUCAGCUCUUUGGAGAAUGGCAAAAAUGUCAUCAGUGAUGGUGAAAAAGACCAGCAGGAGCAAGUGGGAACGUGGGGCCUGAGUUGAAAAGGCUCUGAUCUGAAUCCCUGAAGACCUGGACCUGGACCCCAUCCUGGACCCCAGAGGCGGUGGAGCCCACACAGCACCAGGAGCCUCAUCUGGACCAGAUCAGGAGAGGCCUCACUGCUGCUCUCCUGAGGGCCUCGUGUAGUACAGCUUCAGUUGUUUUGUUGUGUAGACUUAGUAUUAGUUUAAUCCACAGUUUUAUCUAUAAUUUCUGUAUGUAUCUGUAUGUUCAAUGUUUAUAGGUAAGGUUUUUCAUUAAAUUUUUAAAACCUAUUUGUUAUUUUUACAAAAUGUUUGUUUGUAAAGCACACAUGUAUAGACUGGCACCCUCAGCAGAGGCAGAACUUAAUGAAUUGUUGUGAGCCAGCAACCCUGGCCUCUGCUACCAGGGUCACGCCCCCUUUCAUUCAACUCAGUCUCAUUGAGAAAGGAACUGCAGAUUUCAUCCUUCCAUCUGUCCAGGGUCACCAGCUUUCUCUGCUUCCUUUAAAUAGUUCCCCUGGCUUGAUUUACUGAAGUGCUUCUGGACUGCUCUUUUCAUUAUUCUGAACAAACUGUCAACAAGAUAGCUGUGCACAUUCCUGGCAGAGGUCUGACUCUCUGGAUUCUGAAAGCAUCAGAAUCUAAUUCAAGAUGCACACGUAGGGUCUCUGUACCAGGGAACCCAUUAAAAGUGUGUUUUGAAACAGAUAGAGCCACAGCGUCAGGCCCUGGCUGAGAUUCAAAGACUACCGGCCAGUCAUCUCCCCUGGGGCCUUGAGAGAACCCUGCUCGUCUGAUGUUGCAAAGGAGGCUGCAGAGACCCACGCUGAGCAGAGCCUGGGGCAGACUCAGGGCUCCUACAGCCUCAGUCAGGGGCCUUUCCGACUUGAUGUUGAUCCCAUGCAGCUGCUCACUACCCAUCCUUUACUUUGUACUUUUUAAAUUAAUUUUUGUUGCAAAAUAGUUACUUUAUAGAGCUGUGUUAGUUUCUACUGUACACAAGAAUGAAUCAGCCAUAUAUGUAUGUGUGGGUAUAUAUAUGUGUGUGUGUAUAUAUAUGUGUGUGUGUGUAUGUGUGUGUAUAUAUAUGUGUGUGUGUGUAUAUAUAUAUAUGUGUGUGUUAGCAAAUCUCAGUGAGUUUAGCUCAUAGUGUGACUGGGCAAGUGAAUCUCAUUAAUCUCUGUUCCUCACUAUUCAACCUAAUGCCAUAUAUGUGUGUGUGUGUGUGUGUGUGCGUGUGUAUAUAUAUAUCUGUGUGUAUAUAUAUAUAUGUCUGUGUGUGUAUAUAUAUAUGUGUGUAUAUAUAUAUAUGUGUGUGUGUGUAUAUAUAUCUGUGUAUAUAUAAAUGUGUGUAUAUGUGUGCGUGUGUGUAUAUAAAUGUGUGUGUGUAUAUAUGUGUGUGUAUAUGUGUGUGUAUAUAUCUGUGUGUGUAUAUAUAUAUGUACAUACAUGAUGUAUGUGUAUAUACACACACAGACACACACACACACACACACACACGUUCAUAGGACGCUGUAUUGAAAUAAACCCAGCUUUACUUAGUUUGCAAUGGAACAUUAUCUCAAAUUUGGCCACAAGAUGUUGAUAUCACAAAACAGGUUCAAAGAAAUAAACUUCUAUUGCAAAGUGCUUGUGUUUCUUUCCAACUUAGGUCUUUAAAUGUAACUAUUCUUGUCAAUCAGUGACUUCUCUUAAAUGAUGUUGUAUUUCUUGAUCUGUUCCACAUCUGUAUAUUUUGGGGGGUUUUGCCCCUCAUAUCUACUACCUCAGAGAAUAUCAAUUAAGUCUAUUGUAUUGAAACCCAUAUGCAAUAAUAGCAAAAUAAGAUUUCAAAACUAGGAAACAAUACACUGCUAUUUGUAUUCAUUAUUGUUGUUGACUUGUUUCUUGUUAUUUAAUAGCGAAGAGAUGUCCUGCUCCUGGAUCAGUGUCAAACAAUGACAAACAGAGCAAGCACUUGGGAACAUAAUAAACUCAGUAAGAAGCUGAAAGGAUAUUUUUGUUCAUUGGGUCAGGUCCUUCUCUUUGCUUACCAUCUGGAUCUCCAUGUGUUGAGAGGUUUGCCUAACCAGCUGAGGCAACAAACAAUGAAGGAACUUCUCCAAGAUACACAGAAAUUGAGAGAAAUUC